rnacentral:rRNA from 1 species
GGGUGUGUAAGCGCUGCGAGGCGUUGAGCUAACCAAUACUAAUUGCCCGUGAGGCUUAACCAUACAACACCGAAGGGGUUUUGU